GUUCUCCGCAUUGACACAUCCAUCUCGGUUGGCUCCGGGGCGUCGACCCUGUUCUGGUUCGAUCGUUGGCUAGGGGACUCCCCCCUGGCCGCUCGCUUCCCGGAACUAUUCGCCAUAACGGUUGACCCUCGGGUCUCUGUGGAGAUGGCCCUUAUUGACUUAGGGCGUCUCGCCUUUCGGCGAUCCUUCGGUCCCCAAGAGGUGGCCGCCUGGGACUCCCUCCUCCAGGACAUCGCGCUUCUUCCGAUGGACGCCGAGGACGCCCUGGACUCCAUCUCUUGGCGUCUAGAGUCCUCUGGACACUUCUCCACUAAAUCCUUAUACGCGGCCAUCGCUCCCUCGACGGCUCCUGAGCCCUUUAGUCUAAUCUGGGACAUUCGCCUUCCUUUGAAGAUCCGGAUCUUCCUGUGGCAGUGGAUUCGGGGACGCCUUCCCUCUGAGGUCGAGGUCCUCAAAUGUAGUGGACCAGGAGAUGGGAUAUGUCCCAUGUGUGGCACGGUCGAGGAUGCUAAUCACAUCUUCUUCUCUUCCUCCACAACCCAAUUCCUGUGGUCCUGUUUUCGCGAGAUGAUUGGUGGACAGUGGUGUAAUACCAACUUCCCCGACUUACUUGCUGAGAUUCACGCCUCCCACCCUCGCUACCGCCACAUUCGUUGGUUGUUCGUUGGGGUUCUCGCCUGGAUGCUUUGGACCAUCCGCACCAAGCUUGUCAUUCAGAAAGUGCCUCUUCGACGUGCGACUGAUGUUGUCUUCAAAAUGUGUGGUUUCUUGCAGCUCUGGCGGCCGCUUAGCCGCCCCCAGGACCGGGACGUCAUGAACACCCUCCUCGCUGACCUUUGCUCGAUGACAGUCCGCAUGGCGCCCCCGCUGCCGCCCCCUCCUCCGGAGCCCGAUUAG
rnacentral:rRNA from 1 species